CAGCAGCCACGGGAAUACAGAGGGUGCGAGCGUUAAUCGGAUUUACUGGGCGUAAAGCGUGCGUAGGCGGCUUUUUAAGUCGGAUGUGAAAUCCCUGAGCUUAACUUAGGAAUUGCAUUCGAUACUGGGAAGCUAGAGUAUGGGAGAGGAUGGUAGAAUUCCAGGUGUAGCGGUGAAAUGCGUAGAGAUCUGGAGGAAUACCGAUGGCGAAGGCAGCCAUCUGGACUGAUACUGACACUGAGGUGCGAAAGCGUGGGGAGCAAACAGGAUUAGAUACCCCUGUAGUCCCUGUCUCUUAUAC
rnacentral:rRNA from 1 species